rnacentral:rRNA from 1 species
CUACGGGUCGCUGCAGUGAGGAAUAUUGCACAAUGGGGGAAACCCUGAUGCAGCAACGCCGCGUGGAGGAUGACGCAUUUCGGUGUGUAAACUCCUUUUAUCAGAGAAGAAAAUGACGGUAUCUGAUGAAUAAGCUCCGGCUAACUCCGUGCCAGCAGCCGCGGUAAUACGGAGGGAGCAAGCGUUAUUCGGAAUCACUGGGCGUAAAGGACGCGUAGGCGGGUUUUUAAGUCAGGUGUGAAAUCCUAUGGCUCAACCAUAGAACUGCACUUGAAACUGGGGACCUAGGGUAUGGAAGGGGCAGGUGGAAUUAGUGGUGUAGGGGUAAAAUCCGUAGAUAUCACUAGGAAUACCGAAAGCGAAGGCGACCUGCUGGGACAUUACUGACGCUGAGGCGUGAAAGCGUGGGGAGCAAACAGGAUUAGAUACCCGUGUAGUC